CCCCUUUCAGGGUCGCACCUGGAGAGUUUCCAGUACUCUACCAGUCUCAGCUACGGGAGGGACAGUCAAGCAGAGGCAUACCCCUAUUCCUAGCUUGGCCAGUGGCUAGUGAGUGGAAGGCAAUCUGCUACACAU
rnacentral:snoRNA from 1 species